GGGAUAUCAGAAACCUGCUCAAGUGGAUCAAACAGAAUCUGUUGAAAGAGCGACCAGAGUUAUUUUUGCAAGGGGAAUCUGUGAGGCCAGGAAUUUUGGUGCUCAUCAACGAGGCAGACUGGGAACUAAUGGGUGAGCUGGAUUAUAAACUCCAGGACCAGGAUAAUGUGCUUUUCAUCUCAACAUUGCACGGCGGGUGAACUCCUGAAAAAACAAAGAGGAUGUAAAUCCAAAUCCCCGGGAAAAAAAAACAAACAAACAAAAAAUAACCCAGAAAACCAACCUUAACCCACCCAAACCUCUGUUGAGCUGCCUGUGUCCAGUCUCUGCAUCUUCCCACUGCCUUCACUUGUUCUAGACAUCCAAAUAAAGCUCCGCCAGCCUGCGGCCUUCUGUCCACCACAACAGCAUCCAUCUUUUGGUCCUCAUUUCACCUCUCCUGACUACCUUCCAGGUUACCCCUAACGAGCAGAGAGCACUCAGCAUGUGGGGACUUUUGUUUUUUUCUGACAGGAGGAAGAGGGGUGCUGAACCCUGAGUAGGAUAGCAUGUCUUAACAUGCAGUGAGGUGUUCUGGUGCUGGGAACCAGGAUUCUUUUAACACAAUGCUUAAUGUUGGUACAGUCUCUGCACCAGCCAUGGGAAGGGUGACAAAGUGCAAGGAAACAAAAGGGGGCUUGAAUAGCUUUUCCAUGGGGUAGCAAACAUGGUAGUUCCAGAGCCCUCAGAAGUGACUUGCACCUUGUCAUGAUAUUUAUUUAUAGGAAGCAGGAGAGAAAUAGGCCUUUUGGGUUUUGUAUUUCUUAUCCCUCAUGCUGCUUUCGUACCAGAGCUGAGGCAGGGUGAAGAACUGGCCCAUGAAUGAUGUCAAUUUAUAAUGACUUGGUUGGAGGGAAAACAAACCCUCACCCAGCCUGAGACAGCACAGGGUGAUCAGGGCAGCAAAUGAUCUUUCUGUCACUGUGAUAGACAGAAUUGAUCGGGCUGUGCUGCAUUCUGUGCAGGUGGGAGCUGCAGUCUGGCUGGAGAAGGGCUGGGGCUGGAGAUGCACAGUUAAAGUGCCAAGACCUGAGAAAGUCAGUGACUUUUAACCCUUUGUGUCAGUGGGAGGGAGAGUUUCUUGCUGCAUGUCCUGAGGAAGUCCUGUGGAAGUGGGUGUGUGUGGUUCUCCUGGGGCAGGGGUGUUUGUUGGCUUUCCAGAAGUUUCCUCAGAAAGACAGGCUGGCCCCUGCCAGCCAGGAGGCUGCAGCGAGAGCAGAGGGAUGGGCUCAGAGAGGAUAGCAUUGGCACCAACAGGUCUGAAACAUGCUGCAUGAGCUUCCAGGAGUGCCUGGCCAGGACUGUGCCCCUGCGCUCCCCCAUGCCCUGCUCACCUCUUUCGGCUCCAGCGGCGUGCAGAGUCCCGCAGCAGCUCCUGCCCGAGCCGCGGCUGUCGUGGAGCAGAGGCCUCGCCGGUGCCUCUCACUGCUGCUCUGCACCGUGUACUGCUCUAAGAGCCCUGGAUCUUCAGCAGCUGCUGAGGAGGUGGGGAGCAGCCGGUGCCCAGCCCUGCUCAGGCAGCCUGGCCCAGCACCCCGAGAGCUGCGCACAAGGAGCCCUUCCCGCGCUGCGCCUGACGGAGGAAUUCCUCUGAUGCAGAGAGAGUGAUUCCCUCAGCUGACUUCACUGACUCCUCUCUCUCUACCCCUCCACAACCUGCGUAACUACAGGCACCCACAGCCUACGAUGCUUCUGCAUCUGAGGAGCCCCAGCUUCAACCCACUGCUGGUGACAAACCGAUAUUCAGCCUUUUCCAAAUCCAGCCACAGCAACUCGAGUCCAGCUCACACCAUUUGUAAGUGAGACAUUCGGGCCAAAGGCUCUUCUCUGCCCUGAGUUCCUGGCCCUUAGCUUAGCUGGGCCAGGACAGUGGAAGGGGAUUCCAGGUGGUGGUAGAAGCUGGCUGAAGAACAAGGAACCUGCGUGGCGUGUGGCUUGAAACAGACUGAAGCACAAUAGGAAAAAGCAGGUUCAUCUUCAGCACUGCUGCCUGCCCUUCCUCUACCCUGCCUCUGCCUUAGGCUGGGCUUGUCUGUUCUCAUGCCCCCCAGCUGUUUGCUCGGAUAAAGAUGGGUUCCUUCCCCAGGAGCUGUUAUUCCCCUCGAUAGUGCAGGUUAGACCCAGGUGGCUUAGCUCCUGCUGUAGUAAAAAGCUGUCAAUCACUGCUAAAAAAGCUGAAAUGGGAAGAUGAAGAAGCCAGGGGGAUGGAGAAGAGGGGUACAGCAAAAUUCUGUAACAACAAGAGCAACAAAAGUUUCUGAAAUAAAAGCCUUUCAAAAC
rnacentral:lncRNA from 1 species